rnacentral:rRNA from 1 species
UGGGGAAUAUUGCACAAUGGGCGCAAGCCUGAUGCAGCCAUGCCGCGUGUGUGAAGAAGGCCUUCGGGUUGUAAAGCACUUUCAGCGGGGAGGAAGGCGUUAAGGUUAAUAACCUUGGCGAUUGACGUUACCCGCAGAAGAAGCACCGGCUAACUCCGUGCCAGCAGCCGCGGUAAUACGGAGGGUGCAAGCGUUAAUCGGAAUUACUGGGCGUAAAGCGCACGCAGGCGGUUUGUUAAGUCAGAUGUGAAAUCCUCGGGCUCAACCUGGGAACUGCAUCUGAUACUGGCAAGCUUGAGUCUCGUAGAGGGGGGUAGAAUUCCAGGUGUAGCGGUGAAAUGCGUAGAGAUCUGGAGGAAUACCAGUGGCGAAGGCGGCUCUCUGGUCUGUAACUGACGCUGAGGCUCGAAAGCGUGGGGAGCAAACAGG